rnacentral:piRNA from 1 species
UCUUAAAUCUAGCCUCAACCCCUU